UUAAAUUGAAGAGUUUGAUCAUGGCUCAGAUUGAACGCUGGCGGCAGGCCUAACACAUGCAAGUCGAACGGUAACAGGAAGCAGCUUGCUGCUUUGCUGACGAGUGGCGGACGGGUGAGUAAUGUCUGGGAAACUGCCUGAUGGAGGGGGAUAACUACUGGAAACGGUGGCUAAUACCGCAUAACGUCGCAAGACCAAAGAGGGGGACCUUCGGGCCUCACACCAUCGGAUGUGCCCAGAUGGGAUUAGCUAGUAGGUGGGGUAACGGCUCACCUAGGCGACGAUCCCUAGCUGGUCUGAGAGGAUGACCAGCCACACUGGAACUGAGACACGGUCCAGACUCCUACGGGAGGCAGCAGUGGGGAAUAUUGCACAAUGGGCGCAAGCCUGAUGCAGCCAUGCCGCGUGUAUGAAGAAGGCCUUCGGGUUGUAAAGUACUUUCAGCGGGGAGGAAGGUGUUGUGGUUAAUAACCGCAGCAAUUGACGUUACCCGCAGAAGAAGCACCGGCUAACUCCGUGCCAGCAGCCGCGGUAAUACGGAGGGUGCAAGCGUUAAUCGGAAUUACUGGGCGUAAAGCGCACGCAGGCGGUUUGUUAAGUCAGAUGUGAAAUCCCCGGGCUCAACCUGGGAACUGCAUUUGAAACUGGCAAGCUUGAGUCUCGUAGAGGGGGGUAGAAUUC
rnacentral:rRNA from 1 species